rnacentral:rRNA from 1 species
UACGUAGGGUGCGAGCGUUAAUCGGAAUUACUGGGCGUAAAGCGUGCGCAGGCGGUUUUGUAAGUCAGAUGUGAAAUCCCCGGGCUUAACCUGGGAAUGGCAUUUGGGACUGCAAGGCUUGAGUGCGGCAGAGGAGACUGGAAUUCCUGGUGUAGCAGUGAAAUGCGUAGAUAUCAGGAGGAACACCGAUGGCGAAGGCAGGUCUCUGGGCCGACACUGACGCUCAUGCACGAAAGCGUGGGGAGCGAACAGG